CCUACGGGCGGCAGCAGUGAGGAAUAUUGGUCAAUGGCCGGAAGGCUGAUCCAGCCAUGCCGCGUGAAGGUCAGUGCCCUAUGGGCGUUAAACUUCUUUUGUGCGGGAGCAAUAAUGGUCACGUGUGGACAGACGAGAGUACCGUACGAAUAAGCAUCGGCUAACUCCGUGCCAGCAGCCGCGGUAAUACGGGGGAUGCAAGCGUUAUCCGGAUUUAUUGGGUUUAAAGGGUGCGUAGGCUGGGAGGUAAGUCAGCGGGGAAAUGCCCCCGCUCAACGGGGUGAAGUGCCAUUGAUACUGCCUUGCUGGAAUGCGGAUGCCGGGGGAGGAAUGUGUGGUGUAGCGGUGAAAUGCAUAGAGAUCACACAGAACACCGAUUGCGAAGGCAUCUCACGAAUCCGCGAUUGACGCUGAGGCACGAAAGCGUGGGUAUCAAACAGGAUUAGAUACCCGAGUAGUC
rnacentral:rRNA from 1 species